GUGGAGAGGGAAACAACCCAGACCGCCAGCUAAGGUCCCAAAUUAUAGCUAAGUGGGAAACGAUGUGGGAAGGCUUAGACAGCUAGGAUGUUGGCUUAGAAGCAGCCAUCAUUUAAAGAAAGCGUAAUAGCUCACUAGUCGAGUCGGCCUGCGCGGAAGAUGUAACGGGGCUAAGCUAUAAACCGAAGCUGCGGCAAUGAAGUUUACUUCAUUGGGUAGGGGAGCGUUCUGUAAGCCGUUGAAGGUGUGUUGUAA
rnacentral:rRNA from 1 species